rnacentral:rRNA from 1 species
GAUGAACGCUGGCGGCGUGCCUAAUACAUGCAAGUCGAGCGAACAGAUGAGGAGCUUGCUCCUCUGACGUUAGCGGCGGACGGGUGAGUAACACGUGGAUAACCUACCUAUAAGACUGGGAUAACUUCGGGAAACCGGAGCUAAUACCGGAUAAUAUAUUGAACCGCAUGGUUCAAUAGUGAAAGACGGUUUUGCUGUCACUUAUAGAUGGAUCCGCGCCGCAUUAGCUAGUUGGUAAGGUAACGGCUUACCAAGGCAACGAUGCGUAGCCGACCUGAGAGGGUGAUCGGCCACACUGGAACUGAGACACGGUCCCGACUCCUACGGGAGGCAGCAGUAGGGAAUCUUCCGCAAUGGGCGAAAGCCUGACGGAGCAACGCCGCGUGAGUGAUGAAGGUCUUCGGAUCGUAAAACUCUGUUAUUAGGGAAGAACAAAUGUGUAAGUAGCUAUGCACGUCUUGACGGUACCGAAACAGAAAGCAACGGCUAACUACGUG